AGGCCAGUAGCUCGAAUGGUAGAGCGGCAGACUCCAAAUCUGCGGGUUGGGGGUUCGAAUCCCUCCUGGCCUGCCA
rnacentral:tRNA from 1 species